AAGUCGUAACAAGGUUUCCGUAGGUGAACCUGCGGAAGGAUCAUUAGCACAUCCAAUAAACGUGAGUUUAUCUCACGUUUAUUAACCAACCGUGAACUAUUUUCGGGUUCUGGAGGGAAAAAGACCAUGUCUUGUGCCCUGUUCUAUUAUGCAUCACUCGAAAGACUGAUACAUAAUAUCGCAGUUCAUACGAUGUGAUCUUUUAUUUUUUUUCACCGUUCUAUUAAUUUCCAAUAAAAUCCUGCCCUCGUUUAUGGAAACAUAAACGGCGUAGGUAACUUAACUCAAUACAACUCUUAGCAACGGAUAUCUCGGUUCUC
rnacentral:misc_RNA from 1 species